GUUAUUCGGAAUUAUUGGGCGUAAAGCGUCUGUAGGUGGCGAGGAAAGUGUUGUGUUAAAGACCAGGGCUCAACCCUGGGAAAGCAUUGCAAACUAUCUCGCUUGAGUUCGGUAGGGGCAGAGAGAAUUCCCAGUGUAGCGGUGAAAUGCGUAGAUAUUGGGAGGAAGACCGGUGGCGAAGGCGUUCUGCUGGGCCGUAACUGACACUCAGAGACGAAAGCUAAGGGAGCAAAUAGGAUUAGAUACCCUAGUAGUCUUAGCUGUAAACGAUGCACACUAUGUUUUGCAAUUUGCAGAGCAAUAGCUAACGCGUUAAGUGUGCCGCCUGGGGAGUACAUUCGCAAGGAUGAAACUCAAAGGAAUUGACGGGGACCCGCACAAGCGGUGGAGCAUGUGGUUUAAUUCGAUGCAACGCGAAGAACCUUACCAAGAAUUGACAUGCUGCGAACAUUUAUGAAAGUAAAGAGUCUAUUAACUUAGUUAAUAGCGCAGACACAGGUGGUGCAUGGUUGUCGUCAGCUCGUGCCGUGAGGUGUUAGGUUAAGUCCUGCAACGAGCGCAACCCUUGUCUUUAGUUAUAUUCUAGAGAGACUGCCGGUGAUAAACCGGAGGAAGGUGAGGAUGACGUCAAAUCAGCAUGCCCCUUACAUCUUGGGCGACUCACGUGCUACAAUGGUCGGGACAAAGAGAUGCUACCCUGCGAAGGCAAGCUAACCUCAAAAACCCGAUCUCAGUUCGGAUUGCAG
rnacentral:rRNA from 1 species